UACGUAGGGCGCAAGCGUUAUCCGGAAUUAUUGGGCGUAAAGAGCUCGUAGGCGGUUUGUCGCGUCUGCCGUGAAAGUCCGGGGGCUCAACUCCGGAUCUGCGGUGGGUACGGGCAGACUAGAGUGAUGUAGGGGAGACUGGAAUUCCUGGUGUAGCGGUGAAAUGCGCAGAUAUCAGGAGGAACACCGGUGGCGAAGGCGGCAUCCUGGACCGAGAUUGACGCUGAGGAGCGAAAGCUAGGGGAGCAAACGGG
rnacentral:rRNA from 1 species